ACUUAGUUUGAUUCUAACUAUUUAAAAUAGCUAAAAAAUGUCUUUACAUGUGAAUUUUUGUGAGGUUAAAAUAUUAUUCUUAAUGAAUUUAUUUUUUUUAUAUUCGCAGUUAAAAAUUUUAUUGGAAUAAAGUAUUUUAGUAUUAGUAAAUUUUGGUAGAAUAGUUAAAAAUUGUGCCAGCAAACGCGGUUAUACAAUUUAUUCUAGUUAUUUUUUUUAAAAAAUAUUUAAUUAUUUGUUUGGAAUUUAUUAUAAUAUUAUUAAGUGAAAUUUUAAUUUUUUAUUAAAUUCUUGGUAUAAUAUUAAAUAUGAAACUCAUAUUUUAAACUAGGAUUAGAUACCCUAUUAUUUUGAGCUUAAAAUUAAAAUUUUUUGGUAUUAAUAGUUAUAAUCUUUAAAUUAAAAGAUUUUGGCGGUAAUUUAAUCUAUUUAGAGGAAUCUGUUCUUUAAUCGAUAAUCCACGUUGGAUUUAACUUUAAUUUAAUUUGUAUAUCUCUGUCAUUAGAAUGUUUUAUUAGAAUUUAAUUUUCUUUAAUUAUUAUUAUAAAUAAUGUCAGGUCAAGGUGCAGUUAUAUUAAAGGUUGAAAUGGAUUACAUUUAAUGUUAUUUAUUGGAUCAUUAUUAUUAAAUAUUUUAUGUUAAAAAGGAUUUAAAAGUAAAUUAUAGUAUCUACUAUUUUUGAUUUAAGCACUAAAUUAUGCACAUAUCGCCCGUCACUCUCAUUAAAUUGAGAUAAGUCGUAACAAAGUAAUUCUAUUGGAAAGUGGGGUUGGAUUAUU
rnacentral:ncRNA from 1 species